rnacentral:rRNA from 1 species
CAGUAGCCGCGGGAAUACGUAGGUGGCAAGCGUUGUCCGGAAUUAUUGGGCGAAAAGGGCUCGCAGGCGGUUUCUUAAGUCUGAUGUGAAAGCCCCCGGCUCAACCGGGGAGGGUCAUUGGAAACUGGGAAACUUGAGUGCAGAAGAGGAGAGUGGAAUUCCACGUGUAGCGGUGAAAUGCGUAGAGAUGUGGAGGAACACCAGUGGCGAAGGCGACUCUCUGGUCUGUAACUGACGCUGAGGAGCGAAAGCGUGGGGAGCGAACAGGAUUAGAUACCCCAGUAGUCCCUGUCUCUUAUAC